GGCGCGUUGGCGAAGUGGAAACGCAGAUGUCUGCAAAACAUCUACUGCGGGGGUUCGAUUCCCCCACGCGCCU
rfam:Microgenomates (Roizmanbacteria) bacterium GW2011_GWA2_35_8 TR89_C0004, whole genome shotgun sequence.